CAAACGCCUAUCUAGUAUCGAGUAUUACUUCCACCCAAUGUUCUGGACAUGUCUGUAAACAAAAUUUGAAAACAGAAUAAGGCUAUAAAAGAAGUUUUUUUUUUUUUUUGGGUUAAAAUUGUGUGUUAGAGCGAUCCGACGAUUAUAAUUUUGCCCGUUGUUUCUCUCAGAGAUAUCGUGGGUGAUUAUGGCGGAUGAGGUGCCACAUGCUCUGAAUUAUAUACCAGAAGUGAUUCUAAAGAAGAGGAAGAAUAAUGAAGAAUGGGCAAUUAGAAGGAAACUCCAACUGGAACAGAAAGUCAGAAAGCUCAAAUCUGAUAGUUUUGUUAUCAAGAAGCCCGAACAGUUUAUUCGAGAGUAUAAAGAUAAGGAGAUGGACCUUGUCCAAAUGAAACAAAGGGGGAAAAAGGCCAAGCGAGCUCUGAUUUCGCCAGAUUUCAAACUUCUAUUUGUAAUACGCAUUGGAGGGAAAAGUGAUAUGCAUCCGAGAACAAGGAAACUUUUAUACUCUUUGAGGCUGCGAAAAAUCUUCAGUGGGGUCUUUUUAAAGGCAAAUGGAAGAAUAAUGGAGAUUCUGCAAAAGGUGGAGCCUUAUGUCACGUAUGGAUACCCCAAUCUGAAGAGCGUCAAGGAUCUGCUUUACAAGAAAGGUUCUGGAAAAAUUGACAACCAGCGGGUGCCUUUGACUAGCAAUGACAUUGUUGAACAGACACUGAGUCAGCAUGGCAUUAUAUGCUUAGAAGACAUCGUGAGAGAGGUUGCUAGUGUUGGUGCACAUUUCAAGGAGGUCACUAGCUUUCUAUGUCCCUUUUCUCUCACCAAGCCAGAUAAAGCUUUGCUGGGCAAGAAGAGACGAUACAACGAUGGUGGCGAUUCAGGAAAUCGUGAGGAUCACAUCAAUGAGUUGAUCUCUAAGAUGAAUUAGCAGAGACACCCAGGUUUCCUGAUCAAAUUUUGUUAGUGUUAUCAUUGUAGUUUGGGUGGGUUAUUGUAAGAAUGGAGCACCUAAAUAGCUGCUAAAAUGGCAUAGCAGCUGAUGAAGUUAAAUCUUUGGUAUUAUCGGGUCUUCUUUACAUGACCGAACCAGACAUGUUCCUACUGCUGAAGCAAGAACGCCAAAAAUGUUCUUAAAUCUGUGAGGCCAUGUGGCAUGUAAACACAUACAUAAAAGAAAUAAAAAUGUAUUAGUACCAAAGAAAAACAGAAA